rnacentral:lncRNA from 1 species
CGCCGGGCAAGGAACUGCAAUCACCCUGGAAAAUACAUCUGAAACGAGAAGGAAAGAUAGAGAGGGCAAACCAGGGCUGUGCAGAGGGGAUUCUGGAAAGGAAACCAGAGCCCUUCUGCCCCACCCUAAACAAGAUGAAGGACGAGAAGGCUCUGACACCGACAGAAGCCUCCUCUUCAGAGACACAAUCUGCUUCCCUGUGUCCCAACAACAAACUGCCAGGUGGGCCUUUGAGUAUCCCUAUGUUUAAGUCAAGCCCUG